UGCGGGCUCGGUCCGUCGGUGCCCACAAAAGCAUCGGCGUGUCAACCGGCCCGCCCGUCCCCUCCUUCUGGAUUCCCGUUCCUGCUAUUGAGUUAGUGGGGACGUCACAGGGGGCCCAUCGUCGUCAUGCAAAUGGCGGCGGUGGGUCCCUGGGGCCCAGAUCGUUUACCGUGAAAAAAUUAGAGUGUUCAAAGCAGGCAGAUCCAAUUUUCUGCCACCGAAUACAUUAGCAUGGGAUAAUGGAAUAGGACCCUGUCCUCCUAUUUUCAGUUGGUUUUGGCAGCGCGAGGACUAGGGUAAUGAUUAAUAGGGAUAGUUGGGGGCAUUAAUAUUUAAUUGUCAGAGGUGAAAUUCUUGGAUUUAUGAAAGAUUAACUUCUGCGAAAGCAUCUGCCAAGGAUGUUUUCAUUAAUCAAGAACGAAAGUUAGGGGAUCGAAGACGAUCAGAUACCGUCGUAGUCUUAACCAUAAACGAUGCCGACCAGCGAUUAGGAGACGUUGAAUACAAAACACCACCAUCGGCGCGGUCGUCCUUGGCGCCGUCCCGUUUCGGCGGGGCGGUUGCGGGGGCGGCUUAGCCCGGUGGCACCGGUGAAUGACUCCCCUAGCAGCUUGUGAGAAAUCAUAAGUCUUUGGGUUCCGGGGGGAGUA
rnacentral:rRNA from 1 species